rnacentral:rRNA from 1 species
GCAGGCCUAACUUUGCAAGUCGAACGGUAGCACAGAGGAGCUUGCUCCUUGGGUGACGAGUGGCGGACGGGUGAGGAAUACAUCGGGAUCUACCUUUUCGUGGGGGAUAACGUAGGGAAACUUACGCUAAUACCGCAUACGCCCUACGGGGGAAAGCGGCGGACCGCAAGGCGUCGCGCGAUGAGAUGAACCGAUGUCCGAUUAGCUAGUUGGCGGGGUAAAGGCCCACCAAGGCGACGAUCAGUAGGGGAUCUGAGAGGAUUAACCCCCACACGGAUACUGAGACACGGAUCCGACUCCUACGGGAGGCAGCAGUAAGGAAUAUUGGACAAUGCCCGCAAGGGUGAUCCAGCCAUGCCGCGUGCAGGAAGACGGCCCUAUGGGUUGUAAACUGCUUUUACACCGGAGAAAACCCCCCUACGUGUAGGGGGCUGAUAGUAUGGUGAGAAUAAGCAUCGGCUAACUUCGUGCCAGCAGCCGCGGUAAGACGAAGGAUGCAAGCGUUAUCCGGAUUCAUUGGGUUUAAAGGGAGCGUAGGUGGCCUUAUAAGUCAGUGGUGAAUCUCCUCGCUAACGAGGAAUUGCCAUUGAUCCUG